rnacentral:rRNA from 1 species
UACGAGGGGGGCUAGCGUUGCUCGGAAUCACUGGGCGUAAAGGGUGCGUAGGCGGUUCUUUAAGUCAGGGGUGAAAUCCUGGAGCUCAACUCCAGAACUGCCUUUGAUACUGAAGAUCUUGAGUUCGGGAGAGGUGAGUGGAACUGCGAGUGUAGAGGUGAAAUUCGUAGAUAUUCGCAAGAACACCAGUGGCGAAGGCGGCUCACUGGCCCGAUACUGACGCUGAGGCACGAAAGCGUGGGGAGCAAACAGG